rnacentral:rRNA from 1 species
AGUGAACGCUGGCGGUAGGCCUAACACAUGCAAGUCGAACGGCAGCACCGUAAGAGCUUGCUCUUACGGGUGGCGAGUGGCGGAAGGGUGCGGAAUACAUCGGAAUCUACUUUUUCGUGGGGGCUAACGUAGGGAAACUUACGCUAAUACCGCAUACGACCUACGUGUGACAGCAGGGGAUCUUCGGGCCUUGCGCGGUUGUAUGAGCCGAUGUCGGCUGCGAUAGUUGGCGGGGUAAAGGCCCACCAAGGCGACGCUCCGUAGCGGGUCUGACAGGAUGAUCCGGCACACUGGAUCUGAGACACGGCCCAGACUCCGACGGGAGGCAGCGGUGGGGAAUAUUGGGCAAGGGGGGAGAGGCUGAUCUAGCCAUACCGCGUGAGUGAAGAAGGACCUCGGGUGGGAAAGCCCUGUUGUUGUGAAAGAAAAGCAGCAGUUUAAUACCCCGCUGUUCUGACGGUACCCAGAGAAUAAGCCCCGGCUAACUUCGUG